CCCAUUAGCAUCCCUAAUCCUUCCCUUUUUUUUUAUAGCAUUUUCGAUUCUACCCACGGCAAAUAGCAAAUCGACAAAUUUUGAAGAUGUAUUACCAAUCAACUUAUCAUAAUAAAGAGAAUGAAGGGUAUCCACAAAUAGGGAAUUUAGCUCUCUACUAGUUAAAGGUGGCCAGACUUGUGAUGUAACCUCUUUCCAUCUAGUAGCUUAUUUUUUUGUAGCUCUUAUUAGGACUCUUUCUCAUAUUUUGAAAGGUUAAUUAGUCUAGAACCAUCUCUAACAUGUGCUGGUACCGCUUCAAGAAUGCUUGAGAUAAAUCCCUCAAAGUUCAAAUUUGGCUACUUUUCAAACUAUAAUACCAAUUGGCUAUUAG
rnacentral:lncRNA from 1 species